GCCUGGGUGGCUCAGUUUGUUGAGCGUCUGACUUCAGCUCAGGUCGUGAUGUCACAGUUUGUGGGCUCGAGCCCCACACAGGCU
rnacentral:tRNA from 1 species